rnacentral:rRNA from 1 species
GACGUAGGGCGCGAGCGUUUGUCCGGAUUUAUUGGGCGUAAAGAGCUCGUAGGCGGCUUGUCGCGUCGACUGUGAAAACUUGGGGCUCAACUCAAGCUUGCAGUCGAUACGGGCAGGCUAGAGUUCGGUAGGGGAGACUGGAAUUCCGUGUGUAGCGGUGAAAAUGCGCAGAUAUCAGGAGGAACACCGGCGGCGAAGGCGGGUCGCUGGGCCGAUACUGACGUGAGGAGCGAAAGCGUGGGGAGCGAACAGG